rnacentral:misc_RNA from 1 species
UCCGGUUUGUCACCGGCAGUCUCCCUAGAGUGCCCUUGCGUAGCAACUAGGGACAAGGGUUGCGCUCGUUGCGGGACUUAACCCAACACCUCACGGCACGAGCUGACGACAGCCAUGCAGCACCUUACGAUCUGUGUCUUGCGACAAAAUGAGCUUUCACCCACGGUCAAACCGCAUUCUAGCCCAGGUAAGGUUCCUCGCGUAUCAUCGAAUUAAACCACACGCUCCGCUGCUUGUGCGGGCCCCCGUCAAUUCCUUUGAGUUUCAACCUUGCGGUCGUACUCCCCAGGCGGGGUACUUCCUGCGUUAGCGCCGGCACCCAGAGGGUCGCUCCCCCAGGCACCUAGUACCCAUCGUUUACGGCGUGGACUAC